CACAAGUUAGAAUUUGGGCAACUUGGCAGUCGUUGCGCUGGCACUUUGGUGACUCUACAUAGCCUUGGGCCGACUGCAUGUCCCCGUGACGGCGCAUUCGGAUGUCUGCCCUAUCAACUUUCGAUGUUACUUUCUGUACCUACCAUGGUGACCACGGGUAACAGGGAAUCAGGGUUCAAUUCCGGAGAGGGAGCCUGAGAAAUGGCUACCACAUCCAAGGAAGGCAGCAGGCGUGCAAAUUACCCACUUGGGGAGGUAGUGAUG